rfam:Volvox carteri f. nagariensis unplaced genomic scaffold VOLCAscaffold_450, whole genome shotgun sequence.
GGUCGCGUGGCCUAAUGGAUAAGGCAUCGCCCUCCGGUUUUACGCCAGGGAUUCAGGCGGGGAUUGUGGGUUCGAGUCCCAUCGUGAUCG